rnacentral:tRNA from 1 species
UUCCGGAUAGUGUAAUGGCAGCACAAGGGUUUUUGGUGCCCUUGGUCUAGGUUCGAAUCCUAGUCCGGAAG